UUUUAAUUUAAACCCUAAGCCGGUAAAUUGGUCUCGGCCGCGAAGGAACAGACGCAGAGAGAGAGAGAGAGAUGGGAAGAGAGGUUCAGCCGCAGCAGCAACAGGGUUCUUACGCGGUGGAGCAGCUCAUCGCUGUCAAUCCCUAUAUCCCUGAAAUAUUAGCCGAUCUCGAGAACUACGUCAAUGAGCAGGUCGCUUCGCAAACAUAUAGUUUGGAGGCAAUUCUUGUCAGCAAAUGGAGGAGCAGUUCAAGACACUGAUUAUCCUCAAACCGCCGUGUCUGAAAAUACUCAAAACCCAAAGAAAAUGAUAUUAUUGAGAACCCGUUGUCCAAAAUCAAUUUGGGAAACACAACGAUGGCAAAAUGGGAGGUUUCAACAAUUCUGGGAUGAAGCUGCCAAGAGCCGCCACAUAGUUGAAUCUGUUCCAGGUUUCGAGCAAGCGAUCCAAGCUUUACACAGUUCACGUCCUCAGCUUAACUUACCAAAAGGGCCCAAGAUCCGUUCUUGCUGAGGUAUGUUGAGUAAUUUUUCUUCGAUUUUAUCUUGAAUCACGAAGUCCCGAUAAGUGGCCACCUGAAUUUGGAUUAACUGCAAAUGGCAAUUGGAGAAAGAUUUUUGUUUGGACGCGAGGUAUUUAUGUCAUGCUCAUUGGCCUACUUAGCAACUGGGCAUUCCUAUUCCUCAUGAAAUUACGUUGGUUUUUCAGCUUGAAGGCGAUGGUAGCGACAUGAUAGAGCAGGCUAAGUCAUUCAAUGAUUCGUGAGAAGACCCGCCGAAUCUGACAGAGGCAUGUAUUUUCUCCUUCAAGAUCACAGGGACGCCGCUACAAACACUCUCCAAUGUCGAGUUCCAUCCGCAGUGGCUCCAGAUCCCUCCCACGGAUCCAUGCUCAAUUACCUC